rnacentral:rRNA from 1 species
AUUGAACGCUGGCGGCAGGCCUAACACAUGCAAGUCGAACGAGUGGCGGACGGGUGUGCAAUGUCUGGGAAACUGCCUGAUGGAGGGGGACAACUACUGGAAACGGUUGCUAACAACGCCUACCAUCAGAUGUGCCCAGAUGGGAUUGGCUUGUUGGUGGUGUAACGGCUCACCAAGGCGACGAUCCCUAGCUGGUCUGAGAGGAUGACCAGCCACACUGGAACGGAGACACGGUCCAGACUCCUACGGGAGGCAGCAGUGGGGAAUAUUGGACAAUGGGCGCAAGCCUGAUUCAGCCAUGCCGCUUGUAUGAAGAAGGGCUUCGGUUUGUAAAGUACUUUCAGCGGGGAUGCGUUACCCGCAGAAGAAGCACCGGCUAACUCCGUGCCAGCAGCCGCGGUAAUAC